GCUAGAGGCAGAGAGAGAAGUUCUGGCAUCAGACCUAAAAUGCCUCUGCCAUUUUCGUCAUCUUCCUUCUUGCUCCACUGAUCUCAAUGUCGUUAGUGCCAUGGUGUUUGGAGAGCUGUGUCUGCCGUUGCUCUAUCAAGUGUCAGUCUACUUGAUUCUUCCCUGUGAACACCGUCGAUCACUUCUCCCCUGUUUUGGCGUUGAUGCGUGCUCGUGUGAUUGGGGAAAAAAAACUUCGACUUCUCCCUCUUCAAGUGUCAUAAGCUCUAUUGGCAAUAAUGUAGCUAAAAAGACUAUUGAGAUGUGAUUAGAUGGAACAAAACGUUAUUUUGAGAGCUUAUGAGGCCUUAGUGCGCCAUGGUACACCUAGCUAGCAGGGUGUUUAUAGGAGGUGCUAGCCUCGUGCGAUGGCCAACGCAUGUGGAAAGGAGGGAUGGUUAUUCGUGAUCAUCGUACUCACGUUUGUUUCGUGGCUUUAAGCCGUGUUUGGUUAGCAUUACCCUCGUGGACUAUGUGUCCACGUUUGUUUUCGUGGCAUAAGUCACGUUUGGUUAUUUAUCUUCGUGGACUGUGUGUUCACAUUUGUGAAUUGUUCUGAUAAAUUCCCAGAAAUGUGAAUUUGUAAUCAAUUGAUGAUUUCACACUCUAAUGUUUGUUUUUUCUUUCUUUCUUUCUAGCAAAUGAUAUUAUUUUCAAUUAUGUAUUUAUUUAAUUAUUUUGACAUGUCAAGAUCAAGUGUUAAGUUGCUUUAUUGCUGUAGAUUUAAAGUUCCUUAAUAUUGAAGUUAUAUAGAACUUUUAUUCCAUGCUUACAAAUUUGAGUACUUUGAAUUUCUUUCUCUUUAAUUUAUGUAACUAUUAUAUUUUGUUCAUUUUAAUUGUGAAAAAUUUUAUGGUUGGGACAUUAUUCACUAGAAAUUAUUAUUUUGGUCUAAGAUAUAUUAGUUGAUGCUGUAACUUCCGCUGGUCCUUAUAGGGCUGUUGUAUUCAAUUGAAACGAAGAAUGGUAGAUCAAAUCAAUUUUAAUGUGCAUUUAAAUUUAUGCAUUAUAUUUUGUAACUUCUUAUGUUAGGUGCUCCAUAUAAGCUGUAGUUA